GAUGAACGCUGGCGGCGUGCCUAAUACAUGCAAGUCGAGCGAACAGACGAGGAGCUUGCUCCUCUGACGUUGGCGGCGGACGGGUGAGUAACACGUGGAUAACCUACCUAUAAGACUGGGAUAACUUCGGGAAACCGGAGCUAAUACCGGAUAAUAUAUUGAACCGCAUGGUUCAAUAGUGAAAGACGGUUUUGCUGUCACUUAUAGAUGGAUCCGCGCCGCAUUAGCUAGUUGGUAAGGUAACGGCUUACCAAGGCAACGAUGCGUAGCCGACCUGAGAGGGUGAUCGGCCACACUGGAACUGAGACACGGUCCAGACUCCUACGGGAGGCAGCAGUAGGGAAUCGUCCGCAAUGGGCGAAAGCUUGACGGAGCAACGCCGCGUGAGUGAUGAAGGUCUUCGGAUCGUAAAACUCUGUUAUUAGGGAAGAACAAAUGUGUAAGUAACUAUGCACGUCUUGACGGUACCUAAUCAGAAAGCCACGGCUAACUACGUG
rnacentral:rRNA from 1 species